UAACGCGUAUAGAAGCUACCUUUUACACAGGAUAGGCCAGAGAAAUUUGGAUUAAUACNUCAUAGAGUUAUAUAUUGGCGUCGAUUUAUAAUUAAAGAUUUAUCGGUAAGAGAUGGCUAUGCGUCCUAUUAGGUAGGUGGUAAGGUAACGGCGUUCCCAAGACAUCGAUAGGUAGGGGUCCUGAGAGGGAGAUCCCCCACACUGGUACUGAGACACGGACCAGACUCCUACGGGAGGCAGCAGUGAGGAAUAUUGGACAAUGGAGGCAACUCUGAUCCAGCCAUGCCGCGUGCAGGAAGACUGCCCUAUGGGUUGUAAACUGCUUUUAUAUAGGAAGAAACCUUUCCAUGCGUGGGAAAUUGACGGUACUAUAUGAAUAAGCACCGGCUAACUCCGUGCCAGCAGCCGCGGUAAUACGGAGGGUGCAAGCGUUAUCCGGAAUCAUUGGGUUUAAAGGGUCCGUAGGCGGGUUAAUAAGUCAGAGGUGAAAUCCCACAGCUUAACUGUGGCACUGCCUUUGAUACUGUUAGUCUUGAGUCAUUUGGAAGUAGAUAGAAUG
rnacentral:rRNA from 1 species